rnacentral:rRNA from 1 species
UACGUAGGGCGCAAGCGUUGUCCGGAAUCAUUGGGCGUAAAGAGCUCGUAGGCGGCCUGUUGCGUCCGCUGUGAAAUCCCGGGGCUUAACCCCGGGCGUGCAGUGGAUACGGGCUGGCUGGAGGCAGGCAGGGGAGAACGGAAUUCCCGGUGUAGCGGUGAAAUGCGCAGAUAUCGGGGAGGAACACCGGUGGACGAAGGCGGUUCUCUGGGCAUGUCCUGACGCUGAGGAGCGAAAGUGUGGGGAGCGAACAGG